AGUGAAUAGAUACCCGGGUAGUCCUAGCCGUAAACGAUACUCGCUAGGUGUCGGCCACGGUGCGACCGUUGUCGGUGCCGUAGGGAAAGCCGUGAAGCGAGCCACCUGGGAAGUACGGCCGCAAGGCUGAAACUUAGGAAUUGGCGGGGGAGCACCACAACGGGUGGAGCUUGCGGUUUAAUUGGAUUCAACGCCGGAAAUCUUACCGGGACCGACAGCAACAUGAAGGCCAGGCUGAAGACUUUGCCGGAUUAGCUGAGAGGUGGUGCAUGGCCGUCGUCAGUUCGUACUGUGAAAGCAUCCUGUUAAGUCAGGCAACGAGCGAGACCCACGCCCACAGUUGCCAGCGUACUCUCCGGAGUGACGGGUACACUGUGGGGACCGCCGCUGCUAAAAGCGGAGGAAGGAAUGGGCAACGGUAGGUCAGUAUGCCCCGAAUAUCCCGGGCUACACGCGAGCUACAAUGGUUGGUACAAUGGGUAUCUACCCCGAAAGGGGAUGGAAAUCUCCUAAAGCCAAUCUUAGUUCGGAUUGAGGGCUGCAACUCGCCCUC
rnacentral:rRNA from 1 species